rnacentral:rRNA from 1 species
CUAGUGGCGGACGGGUGAGUAACGCGUGGGUAACCUGCCUUAUACAGGGGGAUAACAGUCGGAAACGACUGCUAAUACCGCAUAAGCGCACGGAAUCGCAUGAUUCAGUGUGAAAAGAUUUAUCGGUAUAAGAUGGACCCGCGUCUGAUUAGGCUAGUUGGUGAGGUAACGGCCCACCAAGGCGACGAUCAGUAGCCGGCCUGAGAGGGUGAACGGCCACAUUGGGACUGAGACACGGCCCAAACUCCUACGGGAGGCAGCAGUGGGGAAUAUUGCACAAUGGGGGAAACCCUGAUGCCAGCGACGCCGCGUGAGUGAAGAAGUAUUUCGGUAUGUAAAGCUCUAUCAGCAGGGAAGAAAAUGACGGUACCUGACUAAGAAGCCCCGGCUAACUACGUGCCAGCCGCCGC